CAGCAGCCGCGGUAAUACCGGCGGCCCGAGUGGCGGUCACUAUUAUUUGGCUUAAAGCGUCCGUAGCCGGGGUGGGAAGGCCUCCGGGAAAUCUGGCCGCUUAACGGUCAGAAUGCCGGAGGAUACUCCCAGCCUAGGGAGCGGGAGAGGCCGAGGGGAUUCCCGGAGUAGGGGUGAAAUCCUAUAAUCCCGGGAGGACCACCUGUGGCGAAGGCGCUCGGCUGGAACGCGUCCGACGGUGAGGGACGAAGGCCAGGGGAGCAAACCGGAUUAGAUACCCGGGUAGUCCUGGCUGUAAACGAUGCGGACUUUGUGUCGGACAAGCUAUGAGCUUGUCCGGUGCCGGAGGGAAACCGUUAAGUCCGCCGCCUGGGGAGUACGGCCGCAAGGCUGAAACUUAAAGGAAUUGGCGGG
rnacentral:rRNA from 1 species